UCUGAGGAAGGUGGGGAUGACGUCAGAUCAUCUAUGCCCCUUAUGUCUUGGGCUUCACACAGUGCUACAAUGGCCGGUACAAAGGGCUGCAAUACCGCAAGAUGGAGCGAAUCCCAAAAAGCCGGUCUCAGUUCGGAUUGAGGUCUGCAACAUCGACCUCAUGAAGUCGGAGUCGCUAGUAAUCGUAGAUCAGCAACGCUACGGUGAAUACGUUCCCGGGCAUUGUACACACCGCCCGUC
rnacentral:rRNA from 1 species